CUCAGCGCGUGAGUAAACCGCCGCUGGAGGAGCAGGAGACAGACGGAGGGAGGCUCGUCGUGUCGGAUACUUCCAUCCUUACUUUUAUCCACGCAGGAGAUGAAAUCCGUGUUUUGAGCGCGUGAAAAACUUCUGUCCUUGUCAAGAUGACGGUGGAUUUCGAAGACUGCAUUAAAGAUUCACCCCGGUUUAGGGCAAAUAUCGAUGAAGUGGAGACAGAGGUAGUGGAGAUUGAAGCGAAGCUGGAUAAGCUGGUGAAGCUAUGCAGUGGAAUGAUUGAAGCUGGGAAGACAUACAUCAGCGCCAAUAAGCUCUUCGUCAACGGCAUCCGGGACCUGUCCCAGCAGUGCAAGAAGGAUGAGAUGAUCUCGGAGUGUCUGGAAAAGUGUGGCGAAAGCCUCCAAGAGAUCAUAAACUACCACAUGAUACUGUUUGAUCAGGCCCAGCGGUCUGUGAAGCAGCAGUUGCACAACUUUGUGAAAGAGGAUGUUCGGAAGUUUAAGGAGACCAAGAAGCACUUUGACAGGGUGCGUGAGGAUAUGGAAAUAGCACAGGUGAAGAACGCUCAGGCGCCAAGGAAUAAACCUCAUGAAGUCGAGGAAGCCACCAGCACACUCAGCAUCACCCGCAAGUGCUUCCGACACCUCGCUCUGGACUACGUACUACAGAUCAAUGUCCUACAGGCAAAGAAGAAAUUUGAGAUCCUAGAUGCUAUGCUGUCAUUCAUGCACGCCCAGUACUCCCUGUUCCAGCAGGGCUACAACCUGCUGGAUGACAUCGACCCGUACAUGAAGAAACUGGCUGCUGAGCUGGAUCAGCUGGUGAUUGAUUCAGCCAUGGAGAAGAGGGAGAUGGAACAUAAACAUGCAACGAUUCAGCAGAGGACCCUCAUGCAGGACUUUGCAUAUGACGACACUAAGGUGGAGUUCAACGUGGACGCGCCUAAUGGUGUGGUGAUGGAGGGCUACUUGUUUAAGAGGGCCAGCAAUGCCUUCAAAACCUGGAACAGACGAUGGUUUUCCAUACAGAACAGUCAGCUAGUCUAUCAGAAGAAGCUCAAGGAUUCUCUUACAGUCGUGGUAGAGGAUCUCCGACUGUGCUCUGUGAAACCAUGUGAAGACAUUGAGAGGAGGUUCUGCUUUGAGGUCGUCUCCCCAUCCAAGAGCUGUAUGCUUCAAGCUGAGUCUGAGAAGCUAAGACAAGCCUGGAUUCAAGCAGUUCAAGCUAGCAUUGCGUCCGCUUACAGAGAGAGCCCAGACACCUGCUACAUAGAGCAUCUGGACAGAACAGCCUCACCGUCCACCAGCAGCAUUGAUUCAGCCAGCGAGCCACGAGAGCGCAGCUCCAGGGGGGAGACCAUCCUACAACGAAUCCAGUGUCUGCCGGGGAACGAGCAGUGCUGCGACUGUGGUCAGACCGACCCCCGAUGGGCCUCAAUCAACCUGGGCAUCCUGCUGUGUAUCGAGUGCUCCGGCAUCCACAGGAGUCUUGGGGUUCACUGUUCAAAGGUGCGCUCACUCACGCUGGACUCAUGGGAACCAGAAUUAUUAAAGUUGAUGUGUGAGCUCGGGAACAGCGUCAUCAACCACAUCUAUGAAGGCUCAUGUCAGGAGCAAGGUCUGAAGAAGCCAUUACCGUCCAGUUCAAGGCAAGAAAAAGAAGUCUGGAUCAAGGCGAAGUAUGUGGAGAAGAAAUUCCUAAAGAAGCUGGGCUCUACGGAGAUACUCAUCAAUGGGGAGAGGAAGUCGGAGCGGCGGUGGAGCGUGAAGAAGUGUCGGAGACACAACAGUGCCACCACAGUUCCCAAAACACGGAGAAGAUACCGACAAGAGCCCGGCAGCACUUCCCCUUCCACCCUCUCCGCAGCAGUUGCCAAUUUCAGACGUGACUCUCUGUUUUGCCCGGAUGAGCUGGAUUCUCUCUUCUCCUACUUUGACACAGGAGCUGGACCUCGAAGUCCGGCAGGCCUGAGCAGUGACAGCGGCUUGGGAGGCAGCACAGACGGCAGCACAGACAUCCUGGUGUUCGGCUCUGUGGUCGGUAGUGUCACAGAGGAGGAAUGUGAAGUGUCUGAGGACUCGAGCGGCGAGGUUGAGCUGGAGGCUGAACCUGAGGCGUCUGACCCGGAGGACGUCAGGGCGCUUCAUCCUGGAGCGCUGCUCUACAAAGCCUCAAAAGCUCGCAACUUGCCGGUCAUGGCUGAAGCACUUGCUCAUGGGGCUGACAUAAAUUUGGUCAAUGAGGAUGAUGAAGGGCAGACGCCCCUCAUACAGGCUGUGAUCGGGGGUUCGUUGAUCGCCUGCGAGUUCCUGCUUCAGAACGCCGCUGACGUCAACCAAAGAGACGCGAGAGGGAGGGGCCCCCUGCAUCAUGCCACAUAUCUGGGACACACAGGGCAGGUGUGUUUGUUCCUUAAAAGGGGAGCGACGCAGAAUGAUGGUGAUGAAGACGGUCAGGACCCUCUAAGUAUAGCUGUGCAGCAAGCCAAUGCAGAUAUUGUCACACUGUUGCGUCUGGCCAGGAUGAACGAGGAGAUGCGGGAGUCAGAGGGACCCUUUGGACAGCCAGGUCAAUACCCAGUCAGCAGCCCCACUGAGCAACAGUAUAAGAAAUGCAUUCAGGAAUUUAUCUGUCUCCACAUAGCAGGCUGCUAGUCAAAUCCAGUGCAGGGAGUGCCAGUAUGCACACGACGAGAAAUGUUGGGGAUCUUGGAUUUAGACACAUUGGAAUUCUUUGACUUCCUGUCAUCUAAAAAAAAAAAAAAGAGAGAAGAUGAUUCACCAGAUAAUCUUAUUCUCUACAUCAGUAAAUGUUGGGAUCCUUGUCCCUGCCAGCAGUUAGCUCCUCUCUCAGGAACAAACAACAAAAUUAGUGUUAAUCUCUUUUAAUGAUGUCAAAUUUGACCAACUACCAAAGGAAAACUAAAAAUUCAGGGCAAAUUUCAAAGAUCAGUGACUACAUUGGUCCUCGCAUUAAGCCGUCAGCACAGAGCAAUCAUGCCCUCUGUUUGGAGGUUGUACAGGAUUAUCUGAACCAAAGACCUGCCGUGACUAAUUUCUCCCAACUGUAUUAGAUUUAAUGUGCUUGUGUGGCUCUAAAUUAAAUGUUAAGUGGGAGGAAGAAAAAAGACUUAACAACACAGAAUGUAAGCACUUCUGUUGCAUGGAUUAGCAUAAAUCCCCCAAAGCUAUAAAACCGAAUGAGUUAGGGCCAUAGCUUAAGGUUCAGUAUCAAAGUAAGUGGGCAUUAGUGUUAAGAACUGGCCAAAAUGAUGCUUAUAACCUGAUAUCUCUGAAACAUUGACCUAACAUCAAAACCUAACGUAUUAGCCAGAGCAAUCUGUUAUAUUUACUGUAUGUUAAAGGACACUUUUAGCACAGUAUUCCCUUUAAUGUGGCUCUUUUGGCUUCCCAAAACAUGGAGUGUGCCAUCCUUUAACUCUCUUCCCAGUCAGCUGUUGAGACACUUGCACAUAAUGAUGUAUGUAGUGGCAAAAAAUACUCUUUGAAGGCUGAGGAUGCUUCAGUUUGAUCUUCUAACAGGACGUAUUUAGUCAUCCCGUUAAAAUGAUCACAUUUACAUUAUGCUACUUCCAGGAAGAAGUCAUUCAUACCUGCGUUUGACCCACAGAUAAAGUCUACUUUCUGAGCAGUAGACUUGUGCUGCACUGUGUGCAAGUAUUUUAUAUAGUUUAUUAACACUUCUCCAGCACAACUACAAGCUAAACCAAAAGCUAUCCUCAGCCUUUGUUUGAAGUUAACAGCAAGAACGGUGAAAUGAAGCUUUUAUGAUCCAUUAAAAACAAAUAGAUGCACUUUUAACUUUUUACCAACAGUUAUUUAAAUGUUUUUUUCUUUGUUUUUAUUUAUAACAGAAUUCCCUGAGCAAUAGUGCAAUGAGUAAUUCACUGCAGAUAAUCACUAUUUUUUUGUAUGAUUUUUAACAACAUCGCAGAUGGUAUUUUUUUAAGCUGGAUAUAUUUUGUUAGGAUUUAUUUUCUUGAGCACUCUCAUACACAGCACCAGUAUUAUUUUCUCAUAAGAAAUUCUCAGACGUUUGUUUAUAUGAAAUCACUUGUUGGUGGAGUUAUUCUGGAAGAUGGGCUGUUUUUUGAUAAAUCACAUGUGAUAUACUGUAUAUACAGUAUUUGUUAAAAUGUUUGCUUUUAGUAGUCUGUUGUGUCUUAACUAGCCCUAUAUUAGAUUUACUCUUUGUUUCUAAUGCAUGGGUAGGAGUUGCCCGAGUCCUCUGAAGCCCUGUUGUUUUUGUAUAAUUUUGUUUUUUUACCUUUUCCACCCAGUGUAUGUGAAUAUGUGACAUUUAACAUUGUUGAGUAAUGUUUAUACCUACAUCAUACACUGCCAAAUUGUAGAUUUUAUGGGAGAAAUAAGUGUAUGAAAAAAAAAAACACUGAAUUACUUUUCCCUGCUGUCUUCCGCUGACAGAAUAGUGACUUUUUGUUUAGCCCUAAAUGAUACGUAGCUUAACAGCAGUGAUGCAGUAUGAUCUGAACAAAAUGUUGCUUGAGACCAAAUUGGCCUGCACUAAAAUUACAAUAAGUUAUCUUUUCCCAAAGAUGUUGAUUAUAUUUCAGAGAUGCCAUGGACUGUUGGGGUUUAGUUUAGACCAAAGAAAACAAGCAGUUUUUCAGAGAACCAUUGUUUUGUUUUUUGGUUUUUGUUUUUUGUUUUUCUGGAUGGGAAAACCAGAACCAUUUUUUCCACUAAGAACUGUGCAAAAAUUAUUGUGAUGUAUUUGGAGACUAAACUUGAGUUUUUAUACAUCUAAGCUGAGUUUAAGCUUAUGAGUUUAUUGAAAAAACAGUUGCAUUAUCUAAGGAAAACAUGAUAUUAUCAAAUAUUCAUAGACUUUAAAGUCUUGUUAAUGAGGCAUGAUUACCGCCCUCUGAACCUUUAACAAAACUGUAAACUGUAAAUAUUACACAGAAAGCAUAAAACCUAAAUACAAUCAGCCUGUUUUUAUAUAGUAUUAGAUUUACAUGAACAUGAAAUAUUUGCUUUAAAAGCUUGGUGACUUCCUUCAAGUAAUAGAACUAACAUGCUAAUGUUAGCAAGUCACUGCAGGUUCCCCAACAUCUUCCACCUUUCUUUUUCCUGAGCUGUUUAUGAUGUUCUGUCUUAUUAAACAUUUCAAGACAGAUUUUCUUUAAAAAAUUGUCUGCAAUUACAAGUUUGUUAACUUGUUAGCAUUCUAACUACAUGCUAGCUAUUACUAAGACAGCCCUGUUAGCUUAGUUCUGAUUAGGACAUGCUUACACGGUCAAAAGGUUGUCUCAAAACUGUUUGGAAUCCGUACUUUUUUAAAGAUGUUUUGAAAACAUAAAAAUGGUGAUAAUAGCAUUGCAAUUCUAUGAUUUUUAGUUUUAAAUUUAUGUUUUGACUGACUUAACAGCCAUUAGCCACAUUAGCUUAUGAGCUAUUGCUUAGUUAGCCUUAGCAAGCUAACGUUAGUCUUCAUAUGUUGAGCACAGA